rnacentral:rRNA from 1 species
GUGGGGAAUCUUAGACAAUGGGGGAAACCCUGAUCUAGCCAUGCCGCGUGAUCGAUGAAGGCCUUAGGGUUGUAAAGAUCUUUCAGGUGGGAAGAUAAUGACUGUACCACCAGAAGAAGCCCCGGCUAACUCCGUGCCAGCAGCCGCGGUAAUACGGAGGGGGCUAGCGUUGUUCGGAAUUACUGGGCGUAAGCGCACGUAGGCGGAUUGGAAAGUUGGGGGUGAAAUCCCGGGGCUCAACCCCGGAACUGCCUUCGAUACUGGCGAUCUAGAGUUCGAGAGAGGUGAGUGGAAUUCCGAGUGUAGAGGUGAAAUUCGUAGAUAUUCGGAGGAACACCAGUGGCGAAGGCGGCUCACUGGCUCGAUACUGACGCUGAGGUGCGAAAGCGUGGGGAGCAAACAGGAUUAGAAACCCUUGUAGUCC